UGGUUUACUGGCCGUAGAAUUCAGGACCAGAAAUCAAGACUUGUUUUUUUUCAAUAAGAUCUGUGCAGGAUAGGCAAAAACUCGUCGCACUUUGGUCCAUCCUAGAACACUGUCUUGUUCCUGCAACAAGCAAUGGAACAUCAGACUGCUGCUGACAGGAGAAGAGGGUAAAAAAGAAGAAGGUGCACAGGAGUUUUGUAACACUGUUUGCAGGCCUGCCAGCAGGGAGUGGGAGAGACCUGUCUGAAUCUGAAGAUCAGCAGUGAAUAGGAUACUGCUUUCCACCUAACAAGACUAAUUAACUGAAGCCAAACAGGACCAGACCAGACCUGUUACUUCAUCUCUGCUUGGCUGGGUUCUGAUUGCUGUGGUCUGAUUGUGCUCCUGGAAAUAUCAGACAUGGCUUUGUAUUGGAGGAUGCUGGAUCCAGAGGCAAUGAUUUGAACCAGCCCAAAUCCAGCUCAUGUUGGAGAUGGUUUGCUGUUUGAGAGCAGCCUGGGUGAGAUCCCAGCCUCUGUCCCACCACCAGCUGUUGGCAGCAUGAAACACCCACCCAUUGUCCCUGCACACACGGCUUCAGACCCCCAAGAGGAGUCCACUGUGGAGAGAGCUCACCUCUCUGCAUGGUUCAUGUAUCAUGAGAGUGGUAGGGGCUUUGGCUAGGGACUGAGGAGUUACUGAGCUUGUAACAGGUUGUAACCUCCUGAUAAUCAAGAAGUUUACCAUGUUUUUCAGUGCUUUUUUGUUACAAGCUGCUUACCUUAUGAAAUUACCAAGGAUUUAACAGGAAGGCUGCUUUUGCACUGAAAGUAUACAUGAGAAAAACUUGUAUUUUCACCUUUGCACUACAAACUAGUUUUUAAUUCCAAAUGGUCUUUUUUUCCACUCACUUAUUCAGGAAAUAUGGUGAUUUUUCCUACAGUCCUAGCUGAGGGAACAGGAGUAAAAAUUAUAUUUCUAUACUCAUAAAGAAUAGAAUAUGACAAAUGCAAUUUCAAGCCAUUUCACCCUUUGCUUUGAAUCUUUUCACACAUCCUUCUGGGUGCCCCUCAUACAGAUGGGGUUUGCAAACUGCUGCUGGGGCUUCUUAUGCCAGGCAAUACCAUUGUCCAGGAUUAGGAGAUGUAUUUGCCAUCUCAGCAGUUGUAAGAGGGCAGAGAUCAUCCUGGGCAGAGAGUGGCUUGUGAUUCUCUGCUAAUAAAUAAACAUCUCUGUUUCCCUUUUGCACUAUGCAACUUGAUGGUAAGGUUUCAAAGAAAAGUUGAGCUGACAUCAAAAAAAAGACUCUCCAAGGCAAAUAAAGAGAGAUUUAUUUUCUCAUUCAGGAUUCUCAAAGGCUCCUUCUAUGUGCCUGCUCUGUACACAAUCAUUUUCAGCAUUCAGGAAUGCUUUCAUUUAGCGUCUGAAAUAGCUUAUUGUAUCUCCUGGUAUCUUUCUUUAACUGUAAAAUAAAUAUCCUUUCCUUACCAGGUCUGAAGAUAUGGGAUUUGGGGCAGCAUGUAAAUAAUUGAUCCAGAACAUAUUUUUUUUUUACUCAUUUUACUUUAAGACACUGUUUUUCAUCAAGCUAUUCUCCGUGUCCCGGUCUCCUCAUAGAAGUUUGGUCAGUAUAAUUCUGUAAAGAUGUAAUUUUGUGUUAGUUACAUCAACUCAGCUCUGAUGUCAAGGAUGUGAUGUCUUUUGCAUUGGUACAACUUAUUUCCCUUGCUAUGGAGGAGCACAAAGGGCAGGAUGUUCUCUCUUGCACUGGUGUUGGGGUAGCUGCAGUGGUCAGGGCUGUAUUCAUGCAAGUCUGCUGGGAUGGUUAUGGGAGCAGGCAGAGAAACCCUAAUUACUGAGUGUGAUCUACUGAGGGUUUAUCUCACAGCUGCUUCACCAGCUCCACACUGCUCUUGGGAACAAGAUAUUGGGUGAGAAGAAUACAGGGCAGGUCUACUCUUGAUUGAAACUUUAUGACAUUCUCUGAAGUCUGGUUUUAUUUUCUGACGAAAAAGAACAAACCAUUCCCAGCCCUCUGGCAUAAGCAGCUGCCACUAGCAUUAUUGAACAAGGCAGAAUGCAUGAGGCUCAUGACACUGCUGAUUUUUGAAAUUUUGUUUAAAACUAAAUUUUAAAAGUGCUGCUACAAUGAUGCUGGUACUUGGCUGUAUUAAGCUGCAGACACUGGCAGGCAGGGAUGCCUGUCUGUGAGAUGAAUUCCUGCACAGUGAUAAUUGGUUAUUGGGAUUUCCUGCAUGGCUGUGUGAAUCAGGGCCAUCUGUCAGCAGCUUUCUGUGGUGGUAGAUUGAUGCUGAAAAGACAGAUGGAGGGAAUCUGAAGUGAGAGACCUUCCCAGCUGUAGGGGAGGCCGAGCUGGAUAGAUUUACAGUCUGCAUCAUUCUCUUUAGGAAUGAUGCUUUCCUGAAAUGCUUUUCUCUGUACAUGUGAUAUUUUGUCAUUAGGUUGUUCCCCAGGUGCUGCAUUAGCUGCUGGGAAAGAGAACUGCAGGGUCUCAGCUCAGGUACAUCCUGGGCAGCUGUAUCUCAAAACUUGCCUGAAGGUGGGAGGAUGUUUUACCCCAGCUCUAACUUUGAAGUCUGAGGAGAAGACAAAUCAGGAAUAUGCAAAGGGAGCUCACUCAAUAUCUGUAGCCAAAGAUUGAAGCUAUAGCUUAAAAAUAGUGGCAUUGUGCUUUGACAACAGCUUAUCAAAAUAUUUACUGUAUUCCCCUUGACUUAAUGUAGUUUUUGGUAUUUCUCUGUGUUACCCUACAUAACUAAUUUAUUGCAAUUUGAGUACACCAUUGUUGGUUUUGAACUCAAACUAAUGGUGUUAGUGGAGAUUUAUGUUUAAGACAUAGGAGCUGCCUAGUACUGGAGAGCUAUCCUACAACAACAAACCAGCCCAGGCAGUGCAGUCCUCAUAAUAAUGCUGUUUUGUUGCAAUACAGAUUAGAUGUUCAGCCUUUCUAAGAUUUCUAUGCUUUCUUUGUGGCACUGGAAUUGCUGAAGAUGAGGUGGUUUAAGGUUACAAGCAAGGCAGGGAUGUUGGAGAAAAGCAGUAUCUUUUAUUAGUCUUUACUAACUGAAGGCUUGUCUGGUUUCUCCAGCUAUGUCAUUUAGUCUAAUAAAAGAUCUUG